GACGAACGCUGGCGGCGCGCUUAACACAUGCAAGUCGAGCGAGAACCAUGCCUUCGGGCAUGGGGACAGCGGCGAACGGGUGAGUAACACGUGGGUAAUCUGCCCUUGACAUCGGGAUAGCCCGGGGAAACCCGGAUUAAUACCGAAUAGCCUCCGAAGCCCUCGGGCGUCGGAGAAAAGGUAGCUUCGGCCUCUGGUCAAGGAUGAGCCCGCGGCGGAUUAGCUUGUUGGCGGGGUAACGCCCACCAAGGCGACGAUCCGUAGCUGGUCUGAGAGGACGAUCAGCCACAUCGGGACUGAGACACUGCCCGGACUCCUACGGGGGGCUGCAGUAACGAAUCUUCCGCAAUGCACGAAAGUGUGACGGAGCGACGCCGCGUGGAGGACGAAGUCCU
rnacentral:rRNA from 1 species